CUCAAAGUUUCUUAUCCUCGGUCUGGUAAACGGGAAACCUGAAGUAAACACUAGCAUGACAUCGAAUUUGCUGUACAUGGCCAUUUUAAUCACACUUUUCGAAUUUGAAACGAGCACCGCCUCGAGAACACCGCAGUCAACCGAAAUCAUGAACAACGUUCAAACACCGUUAAUUAUGACGCACAAAUUUCCCAACAUGGACAAUUCGGACGACAGAGAGGACAGAUUCUGCGAGAUAGAGUACCAAGUU